CUUUGCUAUCAAGAUCUGCAGGUAAUUUCUGGGCAAUUUUCGUCUUUUGCCUCAGUACCAUAUUAUGCCUUCCCAUGAAUCUAGUACACCAGGAUACAGUGGCCUUAAAUCUGUUGCUGUGAUCUGGGUUAGAUUUGGCCCACUGAAGUGCAAACAAACCUAUUUUAUUUCGUGUCACUACAUAACCGUUUUGGCGAUGCUCAUUCACCAUGUCUGCUACAUGUUUUUCGAGUUCUGGCCAAUGUGGGGUACCUCUUCUUAAUGCACACUUACCCCUUGGCAUACUCUUUAAUGCUUUUUCAUUUGCUUUCCAAUCCCGAACCAUCUUUUCUGUUACUCCAUAUUGUCUUGCAGCAGCGCAGUUAUUAUGUUCCAUGGCAAAGUUUACAACUUUAAGUUUGAAACUGGCUUCAUAUUUCU